rnacentral:rRNA from 1 species
GACGAACGCUGGCGGCGUGCUUAACACAUGCAAGUCGAACGGAAAGGCCCUGCUUUUGUGGGGUGCUCGAGUGGCGAACGGGUGAGUAACACGUGAGUAACCUGCCCUUGACUUUGGGAUAACUUCAGGAAACUGGGGCUAAUACCGGAUAGGAGCUCCUGCUGCAUGGUGGGGGUUGGAAAGUUUCGGCGGUUGGGGAUGGACUCGCGGCUUAUCAGCUUGUUGGUGGGGUAGUGGCUUACCAAGGCUUUGACGGGUAGCCGGCCUGAGAGGGUGACCGGCCACAUUGGGACUGAGAUACGGCCCAGACUCCUACGGGAGGCAGCAGUGGGGAAUAUUGCACAAUGGGCGGAAGCCUGAUGCAGCAACGCCGCGUGCGGGAUGACGGCCUUCGGGUUGUAAACCGCUUUCGCCUGUGACGAAGCGUGAGUGACGGUAAUGGGUAAAGAAGCACCGGCUAACUACGUGCCAGCAGCCGCGGUGAUACGUAGGGUGCGAGCGUUGUCCGGAUUUAUUGGGCCGUAAGGGCUCGUAGGUGGUUGAUCGCGUCGGAAGUGUAAUCUUGGGGCUUAACCCUGAGCGUGCUUUCGAUACGGGUUGACUUGAGGAAGGUAGGGGAGAAUGGAAUUCCUGGUGGAGCGGUGGAAUGCGCAGAUAUCAGGAGGAGCACCAGUGGCGAAGGCGGUUCUCUGGGCCUUUCCUGACGCUGAGGAGCGAAAGCGUGGGGAGCGAACAGGCUUAGAUACCCUGGUAGUCCACGCUGUAAACGGUGGGUACUAGGUGUGGGGUCCAUUCCACGGGUUCCGUGCCGUAGCUAACGCUUUAAGUACCCCGCCUGGGGAGUACGGCCGCAAGGCUAAAACUCAAAGGAAUUGACGGGGCCCCGCACAAGCGGCGGAGCAUGCGGAUUAAUUCGAUGCAACGCGUAGAACCUUACCUGGGUUUGACAUGGAUCGGGAGCGCUCAGAGAUGGGUGUGCCUCUUUUGGGGUCGGUUCACAGGUGGUGCAUGGCUGUCGUCAGCUCGUGUCGUGAGAUGUUGGGUUAAGUCCCGCAACGAGCGCAACCCUUGUUCACUGUUGCCAGCACGUUAUGGUGGGGACUCAGUGGAGACCGCCGGGGUCAACUCGGAGGAAGGUGGGGAUGACGUCAAGUCAUCAUGCCCCUUAUGUCCAGGGCUUCACGCAUGCUGCAAUGGCUGGUACAGAGAGUGGCGAGCCUGUGAGGGUGAGCGAAUCUCGGAAAGCCGGUCUCAGUUCGGAUUGGGGUCUGCAACUCGACCUCAUGAAGUCGGAGUCGCUAGUAAUCGCAGAUCAGCAACGCUGCGGUGAAUACGUUCCCGGGGCU